GACAGAGGGUGCAAACGUUGUUCGGAAUUACUGGGCGUAAAGCGUGCGCAGGCGGUUUUGUAAGCCAGAUGUGAAAUCCCCGGGCUCAACCUGGGAAUGGCAUUUGGGACUGCAAGGCUUGAGUGCGGCAGAGGAGACUGGAAUUCCUGGUGUAGCAGUGAAAUGCGUAGAUAUCAGGAGGAAUACCGAUGGCGAAGGCAGGUCUCUGGGCUGACACUGACGCUCAUGCACGAAAGCGUGGG
rnacentral:rRNA from 1 species